rnacentral:rRNA from 1 species
CAGUCGCCGCGGUAAUACGUAGGUGGCAAGCGUUGUCCGGAAUUAUUGGGCGUAAAGGGCUCGCAGGCGGAUGGCACAGUCAGAUGUGAAAUUCCCGGGCUUAACCUGGGGGCUGCAUUUGAUACGUGUUGUCUAGAGUGAGGAAGAGGGUCGUGGAAUUCCCAGUGUAGAGGUGAAAUUCGUAGAUAUUGGGAAGAACACCGGUGGCGAAGGCGGCGACCUGGUCCUUUACUGACGCUGAGGCGCGAAAGCGUGGGGAGCAAACAGGAUUAGAUACCCGUGUAGUCCCUGUCUCUUAUAC